AGGAUAAACGCUGGCGGCGUGCCUAACACAUGCAAGUCGAACGCGCUUUCGGGCUUCGGUGCGAGAGCGAGUGGCGGACGGGUGAGUAACACAUGGGUACCUACCUUGGAGUGAGGGAUACCGGCGAGAAAUCGCCGACAAUACCGCAUAGGCUUCUUCACAAGGGAAGCAAAGUGACGCGAGUCACGCUGUGAGAUGGGCCUGUGGCCGAUUAGCUAGUUGGGGGGUAACGGCUUCCCAAGGCGACGAUCGGUAGCUGGUCUGAGAGGACGAUCAGCCACACUGGGAUUGAGAACGGCCCAGACUCCUACGGGGGGCAGCAGUGAGGAAUUUUCCGCAAUGGAGGCAACUCUGACGGAGCAACGCCGCGUGCAGGAGGAAGGUUUUCGGAUCGUAAACUGCUUUUCUCGGGGACGAGCAAGGACGGUACCCGAGGAAGAAGCCCCGGCUAACGUACGCGCCAGCAGCCGC
rnacentral:rRNA from 1 species